ACUACCUUCAUUAACUCUCAAACCUCUAAUACCCACUUACAAAUACAACACUUCCACACUUUCAACACUCACACUCUCUAAUCACUUCAAAACCCUCUCAAAUUAUCAAAAUUCUAAAGCUUAGGCAGAUUCAUCAAGUUCAAAAUAAUGAGUUUUAAGCUUGUUUAUGCAACUUUUCUUCUUGUUUUAUUGCUUCUUCUUUCUUGGAUAACCUUUAGGAGUUUUACCACAUGUUUACCAAGGGUAACUUGGCGAUUCCAUCCUCCAAAACCGCACACUCGCUUUUUAUGGAAAUCUUCGCAAACC